UGCCAGACUCCUACGGGAGGCAGCAGUGGGGAAUAUUGCACAAUGGGGGGAACCCUGAUGCAGCGACGCCGCGUGGGUGAAGGAGUACUUCGGUACGUAAAGCCCUAUCAGCAGGAAAGAAAAUGACGGUACCUGACUAAGAAGCCCCGGCUAACUACGUGCCAGCAGCCGCGGUAAUACGGAGGAUGCGAGCGUUAUCCGGAUUUAUUGGGUUUAAAGGGUGCGUAGGCGGGCUUUUAAGUCAGCGGUAAAAAUUCGGGGCUCAACCCCGUCCGGCCGUUGAAACUGGGGGCCUUGAGUGGGCGAGAAGAAGGCGGAAUGCGUGGUGUAGCGGUGAAAUGCAUAGAUAUCACGCAGAACCCCGAUUGCGAAGGCAGCAUACCGGUGCACAACUGACGCUCAGGCACGAAAGCGUGGGUAUCGAACAGGAUUAGAUACCCCCGUACUA
rnacentral:rRNA from 1 species